rnacentral:lncRNA from 1 species
AUGCCCGGCUCCGGCCCGGGGACGAUGAGAGCUCUCCGGGGCUGCUGCUCCGCCGCGCCCUGCGCCUCUACGGCCGCGCCGCCCGCCGCCUCUACGUGGGGACCAACGGGGUCAUCUCCAGCCAGGAUUUCCCCAGGGAGACCCAGUACGUGGAUGACGAUUUCCCCACGGACUUCCCUGUCAUCGCCCCCUUCCUGGCAGACCUGGACACCUCUGGGGACAGGGGGAACAUCUACUACCGCCAGGAUGACUCCAGGGACGUGCUGGACCAGGCUCUGGGAUACAUCCAGGCCGGGUUUCCCCGCUCUGCUGGCACCUUCGUGCCCACCAAUGCCUUCAUUGCUACCUGGGAGGAGGUGGGCGCCUACCAGGAGCUCUCCCAGGACACCGAGCCCUCCACAAAGCUCAACACCUUCCAGGCAGUCAUAGCCUACAACGAUGAGGACACCUACAGCAUCUUCCUGUACCCCGAGGGUGGCCUCCAGUUCCUGGGGACACGGCCCAAGGAGUCCUACAACGUCCAGCUGGAGCUGCCAGCCAGGGUGGGCUUCAGCUGGGGGGACAGUGAUGACCCCAAGAGGGACGGGCUCUUCCACAGCCUGGCCAGCAGCGAGCAGGCUCUGAGGAGACUGGAGAGGUGGGUGGAACCUGGGGGGCUGUGGGCAGGGGGAGCAGGGUCACCUUCCCCCUGCCCUGGAGCCUUUCAGAGCCUGGAAAAAUCUGGGCAGUGACCUUGGGGUGCUGGGCUGGCUGUAUUGGGGUCCUGGAGGGGUGCUGCCACC